GCGGCAUGCCUUACACAUGCAAGUCGAACGGUAACAGGGACUUCGGUCCGCUGACGAGUGGCGAACGGGUGAGUAAUAUGUCGGAAUAUACCUAUAGGUGGGGGAUAACUACUCGAAAGAGUAGCUAAUACCGCAUAAUAUCUACGGAUUAAAGCAGGGGAUCGCAAGACCUUGUGCCAAUAGAAUAGCCUACAUCCGAUUAGCUAGUUGGUGGGGUAAAGGCCCACCAAGGCGACGAUCAGUAGCUGGUCUGAGAGGAUGAUCAGCCACACUGGAACUGAGACACGGUCCAGACUCCUACGGGAGGCAGCAGUGAGGAAUUUUCUGCAAUGGGCGAAAGCCUGACAGAGCAAUACCGCGUGAGGGAUGAAGGCCUACGGGUUGUAAACCUCUUUUCUCAAGGAGGAAGAUCUGACGUUACUUGAGGAAUAAGCAUCGGCUAACCCUGUGCCAGCCGCCGCCGUAAAAC
rnacentral:rRNA from 1 species